rnacentral:rRNA from 1 species
AUUGAACGCUGGCGGCAGGCCUAACACAUGCAAGUCGAGCGGAUGAAGGGAGCUUGCUCCUGGAUUCAGCGGCGGACGGGUGAGUGAUGCCUAGGAAUCUGCCUGGUAGUGGGGGAUAACGUCCGGAAACGGGCGCUAAUACCGCAUACGUCCUGAGGGAGAAAGUGGGGGAUCUUCGGACCUCACGCUAUCAGAUGAGCCUAGGUCGGAUUAGCUAGUUGGUGGGGUAAAGGCCUACCAAGGCGACGAUCCGUAACUGGUCUGAGAGGAUGAUCAGUCACACUGGAACUGAGACACGGUCCAGACUCCUACGGGAGGCAGCAGUGGGGAAUAUUGGACAAUGGGCGAAAGCCUGAUCCAGCCAUGCCGCGUGUGUGAAGAAGGUCUUCGGAUUGUAAAGCACUUUAAGUUGGGAGGAAGGGCAGUAAGUUAAUACCUUGCUGUUUUGACGUUACCAACAGAAUAAGCACCGGCUAACUUCGU